AUGUACCACGCGUCCGCUCCGAUUCUGAGCGCGCCGUCUACACCCACCUGACGACUGCUUGCUACGUUUGUUAGCU
rnacentral:sRNA from 1 species